rnacentral:rRNA from 1 species
UACGUAGGGCGCAAGCGUUGUCCGGAAUUAUUGGGCGUAAAGAGCUCGUAGGCGGUUUGUCGCGUCUGCUGUGAAAACGCGAGGCUUAACCUCGCGCCUGCAGUGGGUACGGGCAGACUAGAGUUCGGUAGGGGAGACUGGAAUUCCUGGUGUAGCGGUGGAAUGCGCAGAUAUCAGGAGGAACACCGGUGGCGAAGGCGGGUCUCUGGGCCGUUACUGACGCUGAGGAGCGAAAGCAUGGGGAGCGAACAGG